rnacentral:rRNA from 1 species
AGAGUUUGAUCCUGGCUCAGGACGAACGCUGGCGGCGUGCUUCAUACAUGCAAGUCGAGCGGAAAGGCCCUUCGGGGUACUCGAGCGGCGAACGGGUGAGUAACACGUGAGUAACCUGCCCCUAACACCGGGAUAGCUCCGGGAAACCGGAAUUAAUACCGGAUACGACCUAGGUCGGCAUCGACCCUGGUGGAAAGGAC